AGGUCUCUCUUCUCGGCCGUAGUGUAGUGUAAAUUACAUUUUAUUACAUUGCCAUAUGCUGGAAUAUCCUGGAGUCUUUAUUGACAAAACUAAGGGCAAUCAGCAGGAAACUUAACUUUAUUUUUACCUUCCACUAUAAUAGAAAUAAAUAAGAUAGAUUCCUCAGAGACUAAACGCAAUGCAGUUGUAUACACAACUUGAAGUUAUAGUCCGUAUCUUGGUGAAAAUCAGGA
rnacentral:ncRNA from 1 species